UCGCGGCCUAUCAGCUUGUUGGUGAGGUAAUGGCUCACCAAGGCGACGACGGAUAGCUGGCCUGAGAGGGUGACUAGCCACACUGGGACUGAGACACGGCCCAGACUCCUACGGGAGGCAGCAGUAGGGAAUAUUGCGCAAUGGGCGAAAGCCUGACGCAGCGACGCCGCGUGAGGGAUGACGGCCUUCGGGUUGUAAACCUCUUUUGGCAGGGAAGAAGCGAAAGUGACGGUACCUGCAGAAUAAGCCCCGGCCAACUACGUGCCAGCAGCCGCGGUAAUACGUAGGGGGCGAGCGUUGUCCGGAAUCAUUGGGCGUAAAGAGCUCGUAGGCGGUUUUGCAAGUCGGCGGUGAAAGCUCAGGACUCAACCCUGAGAGGUCCGCCGAUACUGCAAUGACUUGAGUCCGGUAGAGGAAUGUGGAACUCCUGGUGUAGCGGUGAAAUGCGCAGAUAUCAGGAAGAACACCAGUGGCGAAGGCGGCAUUCUGGGCCGGUACUGACGCUGAGGAGCGAAAGCUAGGGGAGCAAACAGGAUUAGAUACCCUGGUAGUCCUAGCUGUAAACGAUGGGCACUAGGUGUGGGGAGGCGCUAGCCCUUUCUGUGCCGAAGCUAACGCAUUAAGUGCCCCGCCUGGGGAGUACGGCCGCAAGGCUAACACUCAAAGGAAUUGACGGGGGCCCGCACAAGCGGCGGAGCAUGUUGCUCAAUUCGAUGCAACGCGAAGAACCUUACCUGGAUUUGACAUGUAGGGAAAAGCAGCAGAGAUGUUGUGUGCUACGGCGUCCUACACAGGUGUUGCAUGGCUGUCGUCAGCUCGUGUCGUGAGAUGUUGGGUUAAGUCCCGCAACGAGCGCAACCCUUGUCCUAUGUUGCCAGCGAGUAAUGUCGGGGACUCAUAGGAGACUGCCGGGGUCAACUCGGAGGAAGGUGGGGACGACGUCAAGUCAUCAUGGCCCUUAUGUCCAGGGCUGCAAACAUGCUACAAUGGCUGGUACAGAGAGCUGCGAACCUGUGAGGGUAAGCGAAUCCCACAAAGCCAGUCUCAGUUCGGAUCGCAGUCUGCAACUCGACUGCGUGAAGCCGGAGUCGCUAGUAAUGGCAGAUCAGCAAUGCUGCCGUGAAUACGUUCCCGGGCCUUGUACACACCGCCCGUCACACCACGAAAGUCAGAAACACCCGAAGCCGGUGGCCUAACCAUUUGGAGGGAGCCGUCGAAGGUGGGGCUGGA
rnacentral:rRNA from 1 species